rnacentral:rRNA from 1 species
GGCUUCGGCCCUAGUACCGCGGCAGACGGGUGAGUAACACGUGAGUAACCUGUCCUCAGGUCUGGGAUAACCAUCCGAAAGGGUGGCUAAUACCGGAUAUAGUCACUGGACACAAGUUCAGUGAUGAAAGGAGGCCUCUGCAUAGCAAGCUUCUGCCUGAGGAGGGGCUCGCGGCCCAUCAGCUUGUUGGUGGGGUAACGGCCUACCAAGGCUAUGACGGGUAGCCGGCCUGAGAGGGUGGUCGGCCACACGGGCACUGAGACACGGGCCCGACUCCUACGGGAGGCAGCAGUGGGGAAUCUUGGGCAAUGGGCGAAAGCCUGACCCAGCGACGCCGCGUGGGGGACGAAGGCCUUCGGGUCGUAAACCCCUGUUCUGGGGGAAGAACCAGGCUGUAGUGAAUAGCUAUAGCCUGCUGACGGUACCCCAGGAGAAAGCCACGGCUAACUGCGUGCCAGCAGCCGCGGUAAUACGCAGGUGGCGAGCGUUGCCCGGAAUCACUGGGCGUAAAGGGUGCGUAGGCGGCAGAGCAAGUCGCAGGUCAAAUCCCGGGGCUCAACCCCGGAAGGGCCUGCGAUACUGUUCUGCUUGAGGGCCGGAGAGGCUGGCGGAAUUCCCGGUGUAGGGGUGAAAUCCGUAGAUAUCGGGAGGAACACCGGUGGGGAAGCCUGCCAGCUGGACGGUUCCUGACGCUGAGGCACGAAAGCGUGGGGAGCAAACCGGAUUAGAUACCCGGGUAGUCCACGCCGUAAACGAUGGGUGCUGGGUCUGGGGGAGGAAACUCUCUGGGCCGUAGCUAACGCGUUAAGCACCCCGCCUGGGGGAGUACGGCCGCAAGGCUGAAACUCAAAAGGAAUUGACGGGGGGCCCGCACAAGC